rnacentral:rRNA from 1 species
ACUCCUACGGGAGGCAGCAGUGGGGGAUAUUGCACAAUGGAGGGAACUCUGAUGCAGCAAUGCCGCGUGAAGGAAGAAGGUUUUCGGAUUGUAAACUUCUAUCAGCAGGGAAGAAAAUGACGGUACCUGACUAAGAAGCCCCGGCUAACUAUGUGCCAGCAGCCGCGGUAAUACAUAGGGGGCAAGCGUUAUCCGGAAUGACUGGGUGUAAAGGGUGCGUAGGCGGUAAGGUAAGUCUGAUGUGAAAGACUGGGGCUCAACUCCAGGGGUGCAUUGGAAACUAUGUUACUAGAGUACAGGAGAGGGAAGCGGAAUUCCUAGUGUAGCGGUGAAAUGCGUAGAUAUUAGGAGGAACACCGGUGGCGAAGGCGGCUUUCUGGACUGAAACUGACGCUGAGGCACGAAAGCGUGGGGAGCAAACAGGAUUAGAUACCCUUGUAGUCC